CGGGGCAUAGCAUAUAUAAUGCUUUUUAUUUACACUAAAAAUAAAGUUUAACAAACUUGCUUCGC
rnacentral:tRNA from 1 species